UUCUUUUUUUUUUUUUUUUUUUACUUUUUUUUUUUCAAAGCAAGCAAUUAGGGUUUGUAAAUAACUAUGAGUGUAAAUUUUCUUAUAUUAAUCUGCCUAAUGAAAGUUCAAGGAAGUGUUUUGCUCGCCCGCUCUGUGUCUCAUAAUAAUUUAAGUAUGCCUUUUGUCUUAUCUUUAUAUACCCUUUGUCUUAUUUCUGCUAUUUCUUUGGUUUGAUUAGCCAGAUAUAAAUUAAAAAUUCGAAAAAUAGUGGAAGAAAAAUCGAAGUUUGAAAUAGAUUUGAGUUAUUAUGUCUCUAUAUUCCCAUUUCUUGUUUCUGACACAGAAAUAAAGGAAAAUGAAAUUGAGCCUCCAUAUGAUAAGGUAUUUAAAAUUGAUAUUAUGUUAUAAUUUCAUGAAUUUCGUUUGAAAGAAGUAUCGGCAAAUUCAAUAAUAUUUUUAAAUUGCGUCAGGAAUCUCUUUACAAUGCAGAAGGAACUGCCUGCCUGCCUGCUGCAGUGUUAAUAGGGGGUAUAAUUUGAGAAAAGGGAUUAGUUUUAUUUUUGUAUCUAUGAGUUUAAUGCUCUUUAUUUAACUUAAAUAUACUAUUUUCUCACCACUCGCAUGUCGUUUUGUUCAAUUAUUAUUUUUUUUUUAUGGUGGGUUGGGACAGACUCUUGAAAUCCCCUAAAUGGACAAUCGGCAUUAUUGACUCUUGUGGUGAAGGCAGUUGUGUAAAACGGGUAGAGCCUUUGACGAAAUGGUAUUUACGACCCCUAAUUUUCUUUGAAAGUGAAACCUGUAUCCAUCAGCUUCUAUUUUAAUGACUUAUGCUUGAAAUCUGACUUGAACUGUUCCUAAAGCUUAUCAAAUGCACCAAUAAUUAGGUGCUUGAUAGUUUAUAUGGUUUA
rnacentral:misc_RNA from 1 species